AGGGUUUGAUCAUGGCUCAGAACGUACGCUGGCGGCACGCCUAAUACAUGCAAGUCGAACGAAGUAGCAAUACUUAGUGGCAGACGGGUGAGUAACAUGUAGGUAUCUUCCCAUUGGUGAGGAAUAACACGAGGAAACUUGUGCUAAUACCUCAUAAGUCUUUACGGAGAAAGCUUUAUGCGCCGAUGGAUGAGCCUGCACUUGAUUAGUUUGUUGGUAGGGUAAUGGCCUACCAAGACAAUGAUCAAUAGCUGAUUUGAGAGGAUGAUCAGCCACAUUGGGACUGAGACACGGCCCAAACUCCUACGGGAGGCAGCAGUAGGGAAUCUUGCACAAUGGGGGAAACCCUGAUGCAGCGAUGCCGCGUGAGUGAAGAAGGCCUUUGGGUUGUAAAGCUCUUUCGUCGGGGAAGAAAAUGACUGUACCCGAAUAAGAAGGUCCGGCUAACUUCGUGCCAGCAGCCGCGGUAAUACGAAGGGACCUAGCGUAGUUCGGAAUUACUGGGCUUAAAGAGUUCGUAGGUGGUUAAAAAAGUUGGUGGUGAAAUCCCAGAGCUUAACUCUGGAACUGCCAUCAAAACUUUUUAGCUAGAGUAUGAUAGAGGAAAGCAGAAUUUCUAGUGUAGAGGUGAAAUUCGUAGAUAUUAGAAAGAAUACCGAUUGCGAAGGCAGCUUUCUGGAUCAUUACUGACACUGAGGAACGAAAGCAUGGGUAGCGAAGAGGAUUAGAUACCCUCGUAGUCCAUGCCGUAAACGAUGUGUGUUAGACGUUGGAAAUUUAUUUUCUGUGUCGCAGCGAAAGCAAUAAACACACCGCCUGGGGAGUACGACCGCAAGGUUAAAACUCAAAUGAAUUGACGGGGACCCGCACAAGUAGUGGAGCAUGUGGUUUAAUUCGAAGAUACGCGCAGAACCUUACCAACACUUGACAUGUUCGUCGCGACUUUAAGAGAUUAAAGUUUUCGGUUCGGCCGGACGAAACACAGGUGCUGCAUGGCUGUCGUCAGCUCGUGUCGUGAGAUGUUGGGUUAAGUCCCGCAACGAGCGCAACCCUCACUUUUAGUUGCCAUCAUUUAGUUGGGCACUCUGAAAGAACUGCCAGUGAUAAGCUGGAGGAAGGUGGGGAUGACGUCAAGUCCUCAUGGCCCUUACGUGUUGGGCUACACACGUGCUACAAUGGCAUUUACAAUAGGAAGCAAAACGGCGACGUUAAGCAAAUCCUAAAAAAAUGCCUCAGUUCGGAUUGUACUCUGCAACUCGAGUACAUGAAGCUGGAAUUACUAGUAAUCGCGGAUCAGCGCGCCGCGGUGAAUACGUUCCCGGGUCUUGUACACACCGCCCGUCACACCAUGGGAGUUGGUUCUACCUUAAGGCAAAGUUUAAUACCUUUGACCACGGUAUAGUCAGCGACUGGGGUGAAGUCGUAACAAGGUAGCCGUA
rnacentral:rRNA from 1 species